rnacentral:rRNA from 1 species
GAUGAACGCUGGCGGCGUGCCUAAUACAUGCAAGUCGAGCGAACGGACGAGAAGCUUGCUUCUCUGAUGUUAGCGGCGGACGGGUGAGUAACACGUGGAUAACCUACCUAUAAGACUGGGAUAACUUCGGGAAACCGUAGCUAAUACCGGAUAAUAUUUUGAACCGCAUGGUUCAAAAGUGAAAGACGGUCUUGCUGUCACUUAUAGAUGGAUCCGCGCUGCAUUAGCUAGUUGGUAAGGUAACGGCUUACCAAGGCAACGAUGCAUAGCCGACCUGAGAGGGUGAUCGGCCACACUGGAACUGAGACACGGUCCAGACUCCUACGGGAGGCAGCAGUAGGGAAUCUUCCGCAAUGGGCGGAGGCCUGACGGAGCAACGCCGCGUGAGUGAUGAAGGUCUUCGGAUCGUAAAACUCUGUUAUUAGGGAAGAACAUAUGUGUAAGUAACUGUGCACAUCUUGACGGUACCUAAUCAGAAAGCCACGGCUAACUACGUG